AUAAAAGGUACUCUGGGGAUAACAGGCUGAUUCCUCCCAAGAGUUCAUAUCGACGGGGGAGUUUGGCACCUCGAUGUCGGCUCAUCACAUCCUGGGGCUGUAGUCGGUCCCAAGGGUAUGGCUGUUCGCCAUUUAAAGUGGUACGUGAGCUGGGUUUAAAACGUCGUGAGACAGUUUGGUCCCUAUCUGCCGUGGGCGUUGGAAGUUUGAAGGGGGCUGUUCCUAGUACGAGAGGACCGGAAUGGACAGAUCUCUGGUGGACCGGUUGUUACGCCAGUAGCAUAGCCGGGUAGCUAAAUCUGGAAGAGAUAAACGCUGAAAGCAUCUAAGCGUGAAACUUGCCCUAAGAUGAGACUUCCCUUGCACUUUAAGUGCACUAAAGAGUCGUUCAAGACCAGGACGUUGAUAGGUCAGGUGUGGAAGUGCAGUAAUGCAUGAAGCUAACUGAUACUAAUUGCUCGUGAGGCUUGAUCCU
rnacentral:rRNA from 1 species